rnacentral:snRNA from 1 species
GUGCUCACUUCAGCAGCACAUAUACUAAAAUCGGAAUGAUACAGAAUAGAUUAGCAUGGCCCUUGCGCAAGGAUGACACACAAAUUCAUGAAGCAUUACAUAUUUUU